AUCUAGCCCCGAUGGCAGCGGAAAUCCUGUGGUUGCGGGGUUCGCAACCGCAGAUUGCAGCGUACAGCGGGACCAAAU
rnacentral:sRNA from 1 species